rnacentral:rRNA from 1 species
GUGUCAGCCGCCGCGGUAAUACAGAGGGGGCGAGCGUUAUUCGGAAUUAUUGGGCGUAAAGGGCGCGUAGGCGGCCUGGUGUGUCUACGGUGAAAUCCCUCGGCUUAACCGAGGAAUGGCCGUGGAAACUGCCGGGCUCGAGGCCGGGAGAGGGUGGUGGAAUUCCCAGUGUAGCGGUGAAAUGCGUAGAUAUUGGGAGGAACACCGGUGGCGAAGGCGGCCACCUGGACCGGUUCUGACGCUGAGGCGCGAAAGCGUGGGGAGCAAACAGGAUUAGAUACCCUGGUAGUCCACGCUGUAAACGAUGGGUGCUCGGUGUCGCGGGUAUCGACCCCUGCGGUGCCUUAGCUAACGCGUUAAGCACCCCGCCUGGGGAGUACGGUCGCAAGGCUGAA